rnacentral:misc_RNA from 1 species
AAACCUCAUCCCAUCGGGUUUCCGAUGAUGAUGGACUUGGGUGUUGCCGUCUGGCUCGCCUCAAAAGUGUUAGCGGUUCGAAGUCGAAUCUGGCGUAAUAAGUUUCGCUGGCCUAGACCGAGGUCUGCUCAUAACCCGUCUUCUGACAUCUUUUG